CUGAUACUGACUCUAUGGUGGGAAAUCAAAUUUUUCUAACUCAUGUUCAUCUCAUUUCAAAUGUGUAUGGAAGAAGCACUUCAUUGAAAGCAGUGCUGUAAAUAUUCUGCCUUAGGAAUACUUCUGUCUACAUGCUUUCUCAUCCAAGAAUACUUCAUCACACCGCACAUGCUGCGUCUUAGACGGUGGGUGUUCCAUUUUUAUCCGCUACUCUUUAUUUCAUGGAGUCGUAUCAACGCUGUGAACGCAAGGCUGUGAGAUGGAACCAGAAGGCUGUUUGAACUUUUGAAACCUUGUGUGGGAUUGGUGGUGGUGCCGAGGCAUGAGAGGGCUGGUAUGAGCGAGAUAACAGGAGCGAGCGCAUGCAGAGACCUGGUGGUGCAGUAUUGGGAUUUUAUUUGACUUGGCGAGAUGUCUCUCAGAUCCUGUGGCUUUGGUGAGAGUGUGCGGAGAGCAAUGAUAGCAAACAAAAGUACGAGUGAUUCUUGCAUUCAAAGGACAUCCACAUGUGGAAGACUUUAAGUGGGUUCUCUACCUAGUCAAUCGAUUAGUUGAAUGUGUUACGUGAAAUGGAAUAUUUGUAUUUUUUUUCCCUUAUGUCAACUGCUGUGAAUGCUGUAUGGUGUGCGUUUUUUUUUUUUCUGUUAAUGACCUGUAAGUGUGGUAAUGUGACUUGAAGACGAUGGGGUUUGUGAUGACAACAUUGAGCUUGUGGUGUGCUUUGCAGUAGCUCUUGUAGCAGUGAUCACUAGAGCUCAGUGUGCCUCUCCAGGGUGGAAGUUCCACUGUCUGUAAGAUAUCCAUAAGAAUGCUGUUUGCUGCAGUUUCGUGUUUGGAUGCUUUUUAUAAGAUUUGUCACUGUAGGAAAUUCUUAAAUAAAACUGAUUUAAGUAA